GGCGAAGCGGAAGGCAGCGCCUCUUGGUCUUUCUCCGAGGAGGUGGCUCUCAAAGCUCAGGGAGGCCAGGACCCGGUGGAUGCGGGAUUCACAGCCAUCUCCUGUCUCCCUUUGGAGUGCCAGGGCUCGGACGGACCCCAGAGAGCCUGGCAUCAGAGCUCACGGAACAUUUCUUUCCGAGCUGGCCCAGGCUCUGCAGGUGUGGAGGGGCCACCUCCCAGCUGGCCUUGGCUGGAACUGUGACUUCCCCAAGAAUGAAAGACAGGAUACAUCCUCAGCUGACGGUCUUCGAUGUUUCUGGCCUGAUGUAGCUUUGGCCCUGCAGCCCGGACACCUGGCAUCGCAGACUCCGUGUGCCCUCUAUGCCCUGCUUCCCAGACCCUCAUUUCAAGGAAGAUAAAUUCCUGGCAGCUCCUGAGCAGGCUGUGCAGUACCCUGUGGUGAGAAGCAGGGCCUUCAAAGGGAGAAAGAUGCUUGCCGAGGGUACUGAGCCUGCUGGCAAGUAUGAAACCCACCGCUGCUGAUGCAUUGGUUCCCAGGUAGCACAGUUCUGGGCCAGGGCAGAGAGAGGGAUCCACUUUACCCUGGCCUUCAGGAGAGCAGCAGCCAUAGUUAUUUAUUUAUUGCCUUGGAUCAGGAGGCUGUG
rnacentral:lncRNA from 1 species